rnacentral:rRNA from 1 species
GGGAAGAAGAAAUUGUGACUGAGUGGCGGACGGGUGAGUAACGCGUGGGCAACCUGCCCCAUACAGGGGGAUAACAGCCGGAAACGGCUGCUAAAACCGCAUAAGCGCACAAGGGCCGCAUGGCCUGGUGUGAAAAACUCCGGUGGUAUGGGAUGGGCCCGCGUCUGAUUAGCUAGUUGGCGGGGGAGAGGCCCACCAAGGCGACGAUCAGUAGCCGACCUGAGAGGGUGGCCGGCCACAUUGGGACUGAGACACGGCCCAAACUCCUACGGGAGGCAGCAGUGGGGAAUAUUGCACAAUGGGGGAAACCCUGAUGCAGCGACGCCGCGUGAGCGAAGAAGUAUUUCGGUAUGUAAAGCUCUAUCAGCAGGGAAGAAAAAUGACGGUACCUGAGUAAGAAGCACCGGCUAAAUACGUGCCAGCAGCCGCGGUAAUACGUAUGGUGCAAGCGUUAUCCGGAUUUACUGGGUGUAAAGGGAGCGCAGGCGGUGCGGCAAGUCUGAUGUGAAAGCCCGGGGCUCAACCCCGGGACUGCAUUGGAAACUACCGAACUAGAGUGUCGGAGAGGUAAGUGGAAUUCCUAGUGUAGCGGUGAAAUGCGUAGAUAUUAGGAGGAACACCAGUGGCGAAGGCGGCUUACUGGACUGUAACUGACGUU